rnacentral:tRNA from 1 species
UUAACAAUAGUUCAAUUAGAACAUUUGCUUGUGGUGCAAAAGAUGAGGCCAGCCUCUUGGUAGG